CAGCCGCCACGGUAAUACGGAGGGUGCAAGCGUUAAUCGGAAUUACUGGGCGUAAAGCGCACGCAGGCGGUCUGACAAGUCAGAUGUGAAAUCCCCGGGCUUAACCUGGGAACUGCAUUUGAAACUGUCAGGCUGGAGUCUUGUAGAGGGGGGUGGAAUUCCAGGUGUAGCGGUGAAAUGCGUAGAGAUCUGGAGGAAUACCGGUGGCGAAGGCGGCCCCCUGGACAAAGACUGACGCUCAGGUGCGAAAGCGUGGGGAGCAAACAGGAUUAGAUACCCCCGGUAGUCCCUGUCUCUUAUA
rnacentral:rRNA from 1 species